rnacentral:rRNA from 1 species
UACGAAGGGGGCUAGCGUUGCUCGGAAUCACUGGGCGUAAAGCGCACGUAGGCGGAUUGUUAAGUCAGGGGUGAAAUCCUGGAGCUCAACUCCAGAACUGCCUUUGAUACUGGCGAUCUUGAGUCCGGGAGAGGUGAGUGGAACUGCGAGUGUAGAGGUGAAAUUCGUAGAUAUUCGCAAGAACACCAGUGGCGAAGGCGGCUCACUGGCCCGGUACUGACGCUGAGGUGCGGAAAGCGUGGGGAGCAAACAGGAUUAAGAAACCCG